AUGAUGCCUGUCCGUGUUGCUCCUAAACUUGUUGGGGAAAAGAGUGCAUUUGUUGAUGUAGGGGAAAGUGCAAACUUGUGCGAAAGCUAGAACAACCGUAGAAGAUAUGCUUUCACACGCAGUCUUGUGUGCGAUCUUGUUGACAUGUAAUGGAAUAUUAUGCCUGGAGAAGGAAAAUAAUCGUUCUCAAAAACACGUCAAGGAACCGCGCUACGCGCCUCCAUAUCGACCCUCUGAAAAUCCAGCGCCUGAAGAAUCUGACAGUGAGCGACGUCCAGAUCGCUGCUUUUUGCCACCUCAUCCCGGACGCUGCGGGAAAGGGGAACCGGGAUGGAAACCGAUGAAGGUGUGGUACUACGACAGGGACUUGGGAGCGUGCUCUCCAUUUGAUUACUACUUGUGCCAUGGCAACGCAAACAACUUUCCAACUUGCGCUGAUUGCAAAGAAUUAUGCAGAGCUGAAGCGUGUGCUGAAAGAGUAUACAAAAAGUAACGAGGUGCCAUCAUAUAUUAGACAUGCCAAGAGAGUAAUACAUUGCUCUCUUGACUUCGGUGGAACAAUUUCUGACCAAUUUCCGUUUUGCGGCCACAAAAUUCACCAUGCAAUCUAUUACGUAGCCCAUAUGUGUGUCUCAAGAAGCUCCUAAUAAAAUUUGACAGUUGUGUACGACAAAAUAAAGGCCAGGCCGAGACUUUUCAUGUUCUCGGAAAUGAAAGCUUUCA